rnacentral:rRNA from 1 species
CGGUAAUUCCAGCUCCAAUAGCGUAUACUAAAGUUGUUGCAGUUAAAAAGCUCGUAGUUGGAUUUCUGCGGGGACGGAGCGGCCGGUCGCAACUUGCGACUCGAGCUAGCGCUUUCCCCGCAUCCUGCCGCGAACCGUGCUACCAUUAGUUUGGUGGCGCUGGGGAUCGGCUCGAUUACUUUGAGAAAAAUAGAGUGUUCAAAGCAGGCCACACGCCUUGAAUAAGUUAGCAUGGAAUAAUGACUAAGGACUUUGGUUCUUUUCGUUGGUGUUCGGGACUGAAGUAAUGAUUGAUAGGGACAGUUGGGGCGGUCCGUAUUCCAAAGCGAGAGGUGAAAUUCUUAGACCUUCGGAAGACGAACAGCUGCGAAAGCGUUCCGCAAGGAUGUUCCCUUUGAUCAAGAACGAAAGUUGGGGGAUCGAAGACGAUCAGAUACCGUCGUAGUCUCAACUAUAAACUAUACCAGCUAGGGAUCGGCCAACGUUUAAUUAUUCGACUUGGUCGGCACCUUAUGAGAAAUCAAAGCAUCUGGGUUCCGGGGGGAGUAUGGUCGCAAGGCUGAAACUUAAAGGAAUUGACGGAAGGGCACCACCAGGCGUGGAGCCUGUGGCUUAAUUUGACUCAACACGGGAAAACUUACCAGGUCCAGACAUAGGAAGGAUUGACAGAUUGAUAGCUCUUUCUUGAUUCUGUGGGUGGUGGUGCAUGGCCGUUUUUAGUCGGUGAAGUGAUUUGUCUGCUUAAUUGCGUUAACGGACGAGACCCCAGCCUGCUAAAUAGCGCGGCCGAGCUUUGCUCGGUACGAGCUUCUUAGAGGGACCAUGAUGCGCGAUAGCACAAGGAAGUUUGGGGCAACAACAGGUCUGUGAUGCCCUUAGAUGUUCUGGGCCGCACACGGGCUACACUGGCGCCUGCAACGAGCAUAUCAGCUGGCCCGAGAGGGUCUUGGCUAAUCUUUGGAACCGGCGCCGUGCUUGGGAUUGACCAUUGCAAUUGUUGGUCAUGCAAUGAGGAAUGCCUUGUAAACGCGAGUCAUCAGCUCGCAUUGAAUACGUCCCUGCCCUUUGUACACACCGCCCGUCGCUCCUACCGAUGAAUGUUCCGAUGAAAUUUUCGGAGAGCGCCGGAGAACGGGGCUCUGCCCUGCAGAACUGGAGGCUCAAAGUCACUUAAAUCUGAACAUUUCGAGGAAGGAGAAGUCGUAACAAGGUAGCCG